GGCCACCUUAGGGGGGCUUUACCAUAGGCAAAGUAAUACUUUGCCAUACAAGCAAACGGAAGACAGAAA
rnacentral:ncRNA from 1 species